AAGAACAAUCCUUCCUCAUUUAAAGACACUGACAUAAUUAUCAAGCUAUGAAUGACCUCAUCGGGUAUUUCAUGGAAAUAAACCUUGCCGCUUUUACUGAACUACAUGCUUUUACUGAAGUAAUAAGAUUAACGGGAACCUAUAGAAAGUUCAAACAUGAAUAUUGAACGUUUAAGUUUGCUAAAUGUGACAAUAAAAACAUAUAAUUGAUGGUUCUAAUGGAGCAAAAGAGAAAGAUAUUCUAUUACAUUGAAUAAUGGGGAUAACAAUUUCUGUCUUUAAUUAGCAUUGCUCGGCCAGGCGAUUCCAGUCACACCACACGCUCAAGCAAGCACUUAGUCUGAGCAAUAAAAUUAAACCACUGGCUCUCUUGUCUUAAUUAAGAACUAAAUAUACUUUUUUAAAAAAAGAAAAUAAAAAGGGAAAUAACCUCUUUUCUUGGAUUUUCCUUUAUAAACAACUUGUUGGUUGAAUUACACCAGAAGUUAUUUCUGCAGCAUUAGCACAAGAAGCUUGAGCAGCUGGUUGAUUCUGAUAAGUGAAAUCUACAUCUGACAAGCCUUCAACCAUAACCUACACACAACAACUAAAUUAUCAAUCAUAUCCAGUAAAAGAUUAAAAAGGUAUAUCAAUACAAUUAUUGUUCAAUCAAAACCUAUAAUAGUAACAACAAACAACAGAUAAUCCCGACAUAAUGUUCCAUUAAGCAGAUGAUAAAGAAAAUAUUUGGGGCAUAUUUAUAUAAUGGGAAAAGUAAAAGAAGUCUUUCUAGCAAUGUAAAAUAACAUGAACAGUAAAAAUAAUUGAGAGUGCAACAUAGCUUUAAGAGAUUUCAUACCUUUGCUAUCGCAGGAGUAUUUAGCCCGCUUCUGAUUUUGUAUGCAUAUUCUGUUUAUUCUUGCAAGUUUCUUCCCGUUAUUUUCCAUUUCUAUGGGUUCUUGCAGCUUGAUUUCAUAUGAUGAAUUGGAAAGUAUGUUGGAAGAGAGAGAGAAAGAGGGGGUGCUAGUCAGCUUUAAUUUUUUUUUUUUUGUAUUCCUU
rnacentral:lncRNA from 1 species